GGGCAGUUAGCUCAGCGGUAGAGCGCUGUCCUCACACGACAGGGGUCAUAGGUUCAAAUCCUAUACUGCCCACCA
rnacentral:tRNA from 1 species